GCGGAUUUCAUCGGAUGCCAUCGGAAUUCAAAACUACGGAAUCAUAAUCCGCAGGUCCGGGGUUCGAGUCCCUGAUUCGCCACCA
rnacentral:tRNA from 1 species